CAGUAGCCGGCGGGAAUACGAAGGGGGCUAGCGUUGUUCGGAAUUACUGGGCGUAAAGCGCACGUAGGCGGAUUUUUAAGUCAGGGGUGAAAUCCCGAGGCUCAACCUCGGAACUGCCUUUGAUACUGGAGAUCUUGAGUUCGGAAGAGGUUGGUGGAACAGCUAGUGUAGAGGUGAAAUUCGUAGAUAUUAGCUAGAACACCAGUGGCGAAGGCGGCCAACUGGUCCGAUACUGACGCUGAGGUGCGAAAGCGUGGGGAGCAAACAGGAUUAGAUACCCGCGUAGUCCCUGUCUCUUAUU
rnacentral:rRNA from 1 species